rnacentral:rRNA from 1 species
UAGGGAAUCUUCCACAAUGGACGCAAGUCUGAUGGAGCAACGCCGCGUGAGUGAAGAAGGCUUUCGGGUCGUAAAACUCUGUUGUUGGAGAAGAAUGGUCGGCAGAGUAACUGUUGUCGGCGUGACGGUAUCCAACCAGAAAGCCACGGCUAACUACGUGCCAGCAGCCGCGGUAAUACGUAGGUGGCAAGCGUUAUCCGGAUUUAUUGGGCGUAAAGCGAGCGCAGGCGGUUUUUUAAGUCUGAUGUGAAAGCCCUCGGCUUAACCGAGGAAGCGCAUCGGAAACUGGGAAACUUGAGUGCAGAAGAGGACAGUGGAACUCCAUGUGUAGCGGUGAAAUGCGUAGAUAUAUGGAAGAACACCAGUGGCGAAGGCGGCUGUCUGGUCUGUAACUGACGCUGAGGCUCGAAAGCAUGGGUAGCGAACAGGAUUAGAUACCCUGGUAGUCCAUG